UGGGGAAUAUUGCGCAAUGGGGGCAACCCUGACGCAGCAACGCCGCGUGCGGGAUGAAGGCAUUCGUGUCGUAAACCGCUUUCAGCAGGGAAGACAUCGACGGUACCUGCAGAAGAAGCCCCGGCUAACUACGUGCCAGCAGCCGCGGUAAUACGUAGGGGGCGAGCGUUAUCCGGAUUCAUUGGGCGUAAAGCGCGCGCAGGCCGCUCGCUAAGCGGGACCUCUAAUCCCGGGGGCUCAACCCCGGGCCGGGUCCCGUACUGGCGGGCUCGGGUGCGGUAGGGGCAGGCGGAAUUCCCGGUGUAGCGGUGGAAUGCGCAGAUAUCGGGAAGAACACCGAUGGCGAAGGCAGCCUGCUGGGCCGUCACCGACGCUGAGGCGCGAAAGCCGGGGGAGCGAACAGGAUUAGAUACCCUGGUA
rnacentral:rRNA from 1 species